rnacentral:rRNA from 1 species
UACGUAGGGUGCGAGUGUUAAUCGGAAUUACUGGGCGUAAAGUGUGCGCAGGCGGCCGCGCAAGUCGAGUGUGAAAUCCCCGAGCUUAACUUGGGAAUUGCGCUCGAAACUACGUGGCUGGAGUGUGGCAGAGGAAGGUGGAAUUCCACGUGUAGCGGUGAAAUGCGUAGAGAUGUGGAGGAACACCGAUGGCGAAGGCAGCCUUCUGGGCCAACACUGACGCUCAUGCACGAAAGCGUGGGGAGCAAACAGG